rnacentral:rRNA from 1 species
GAUGAACGCUGGCGGCGUGCCUAAUACAUGCAAGUAGAACGCUGAAGGAGGAGCUUGCUCUUCUGGAUGAGUUGCGAACGGGUGAGUAACGCGUAGGUAACCUGCCUGGUAGCGGGGGAUAACUAUUGGAAACGAUAGCUAAUACCGCAUGACAACAGUUAUUGCAUGAUAACUGUUUAAAAGGGGCAACUGCUCCACUACCAGAUGGACCUGCGUUGUAUUAGCUAGUUGGUGAGGUAACGGCUCACCAAGGCGACGAUACAUCGCCGACCUGAGAGGGUGAUCGGCCACACUGAGACGGAGACACGGCCCAGACUCCUACGGGAGGCAGCAGUAGGGAAUCUUCGGCAAUGGACGGAAGUCUGACCGAGCAACGCCGCGGGAGUGAAGAAGGUUUUCGGAUCGUAAAGCUCUGUUGUAAGAGAAGAACGAGUGUGAGAGUGGAAAGUUCACACUGUGACGGUAUCUUACCAGAAAGGGACGGCUAACUACGUG